rnacentral:lncRNA from 1 species
AGAGAGAAAGGGGAAGAGUUGCAGAGUCUCACCAAAGAAGAGAGACAGAAACAAAAGGCAAAAGGAGAAAGUAAGAGAGAGAUUGGACAGGAACCAAUGAAGCACGAACACCUUCACGCAGCAAUAUAUGCAGACAGGGGUAUAAGUAGAAACAGGAGAAGAAAGGAGAAGCAGGGUGAGGUCUAACCAAAUGGAAACAGGACAGAGCAAGGCUCUACUGGAUCUCAGCUGUGAUCUCGUUUAUCUCCAGAGUCCUGCGAACAAGUUGCUGUCCAAGUGAAUAAUGGGGAUGCUGAAAGGGAGAUGCCCUGCCCGUUGCCCUGUGAUGAAGAAAGCCCAGAGGCAGAGCUACACAACCAUGGAAUCCAAAUUAAUUCCUGUUCUGUGCGACUGGUGGAUAUAAAAAAGGAAAAGCCAUUUUCUAUUUCAAAAGUUGAGUGCCAAGCCCAAGCAAGAACUCAUCAUAACCAGGCAUCUGACAUA